AGUUACCUGUUUUUCCAAGUCUUCAGUCUCACAAAAGGGAUGGAUUCAGUGGUCUUUUUAGGCUGGAAAAGACAUAAAACAACAGUGACAAUUACAGCUUUGUUUUGAACCAGUUUGGCUAUGUUUAUCAUGGAAGGGUUCUGGUAUACAGUCUCAGUCCUUGAAGGAUUUUGAGGGUAUGUUCGGUCGUUAACACCAAAGAUUCAUCAAAGACAAUGUAAAACAUAACGGGUGCUGGGUUUGGGGUUUUCUGUUUCGAGGACUUCGUGUCCUUGUCUUGUUCUUUGUUUUCCUGUCCCCCUUGCUUGUUCACCAGCAGAAAAUUGGAAAAAGCCUACAAAAUAUUUUAUUACUCCAUCGACAAAAUCAUUGAUGGAAA